CGCUGGUUCUCACGCGCUUGCAAUCUGUGGGAGCGUGACAUCGCUGAAAGCAACCAAAGAGAGGGCGCGAGAUUACAAUCUGUCUGAGGGGUGCCAUUACUGGCUGGACUUUGUACUUUUGACUACGAAUCCCUCAAAAGUUUUCUAGAGAGAGAAACCAACCCACAGAGAGAGCGCGAGAUUGGCAAAGCAGAGAAUUGUGAUAUAUUUUAUAGAGAGAGAGAGAAUGGAGGUGAGAGCAAGAGCUCCCGGAAAGAUCAUACUCGCCGGCGAACACGCCGUCGUUCACGGAUCUACGGCCGUCGCUGCCUCGAUCGAUCUCUACACUUACGUCUCUCUUCACUUUCCCGCUGAUUCUGGGAACCGUUUUCCAUCUAAAGAAAUGGAAGCCAUAGAAAAUUUAAAGCAAGAUAACGAUGACACCCUGAAACUCCAGCUCAAGGAUAUGGGCUUGGAAUUUUCAUGGCCAGUUGGAAGAAUUAAAGAAACACUUCCUGAUUCGGGUACUGGCUGUGACGCCCCUUCAUCUCCCGCAUCAUGCUCACCGUGGACCAUUAAGUCAAUUGCAGCUCUAGUUGAAGAACAGAAUAUUCCAGAGGCAAAAAUUGGACUUGCUGCUGGAGUUUCAGCUUUUCUAUGGCUAUACACCUCUAUUCAAGGGUGUAAACCUGCUAAAGUGGUUGUCACUUCUGAGCUUCCAUUGGGAUCUGGCUUGGGUUCAUCUGCUGCAUUCUGUGUGUCACUCUCUGCUGCCCUGCUUGCUUUGUCAGAUUUUGUAGUUUUAGAUUUUAGCCGUCAAGGUUGGUUUAUGUUAGGGGAGAAUGAGCUGGACCUGGUGAACAAAUGGGCUUUUGAAGGUGAAAAAAUAAUACAUGGGAAGCCAUCAGGCAUAGACAACACAGUAAGCACAUAUGGCAACAUGAUCGAGUUUAGGUCAGGUGAUUUAACACGCAUCAAGUCCAAUAUGCCACUUAAAAUGCUCAUAACAAACACAAAAGUUGGGAGGAACACUAAGGCACUAGUUGCUGGUGUUUCAGAGAGGACAAUCAGGCAUCCAAAUGCUAUGGCUGCUGUUUUUACUGCUGUUGAUUCUAUUAGCAGUGAACUGGCUACCAUUAUCCAGGCACCUGCACCUGAUGAUCUUGCCGUAACUGAGAAGGAAGAGAAACUAGAAGAACUCAUGGAAAUGAAUCAAGGGUUGCUCCAAUGUAUGGGGGUCAGCCAUGCUUCAAUAGAAACUGUGCUUCGAACUACGUUGAAAUAUAAAUUAUCUUCCAAGUUGACAGGAGCUGGUGGAGGAGGCUGUGUUUUGACACUAUUACCAACACUAUUAUCAGGUACAGUUAUUGAUAAAGUAAUUGCUGAGCUUGAGUCAUGUGGAUUCCAGUGUUUGAUUGCCGGAAUAGGUGGGAAUGGUCUUGAAAUCUUCUAUGAUGGUUCCUCAUGAUCUUGCCCAUCAGCAGCAGUGGAUAAUAAAUAUUUAUCAGAAAUUAUGGAGCUUUUAUCUCAAUGGUAUCUCGAGGGUACACGUCCCCUACAGGGCAUCGUGGAGUAUUUCAUCCCAUCAACGGAUGGUGUGACAAGGAUAUCAAACCCUCUACUACAGAGAGAUGGAUUGCCCAAGAUGACUCUUUAUAAGACAAGUUAAAGACAAGAAGAACCUUUAACCUAGGCUUCAGAAUUUUUGUCACCAUGGUGUGAGAGCAGUGUAAAAUAUGUUGAUCCAAGUUUAGUAUAAUCUCCUUUAUUUGAAGGAUUGAGAACUAACUCAGGUUUUCUUGUAUUUCAAUUGAAUUGCCUUUUUUAUCUGAUGAAGAGAUGGCUCCAUUUUUGGAACCCAAGUGAGAUUUA